rnacentral:tRNA from 1 species
AUUAGGGUGGCAGAGCCAGGAAAUUGCGUAAGACUUAAAACCUUGUUUCCAGAGGUUCAAAUCCUCUCCCUAAUA